CGCCGGGGCCACCCUCCAGACCGGCCACUGCUCCGGAGCGAGCCCGGAGCCUCUCUCCGCCUGGAGUUGCAGUUCGUCUCCGAUCCCCUUGGGAUUUAAACCUUCUUGCAUAUAUAUAUUUUUUUUUCCCUUCCUCCUCCUCCUCCUCUCUUUUUCUCCCGUGCAAAGUGGAGCAGGAACUGCACCAAGGCAGCCCGCGAGAUCCUGCAACACUGCUCCGAUUUAAUUCCCUGCUAUUAUUCCUAAUUAAUUAUUAUUUUUGACCUCGCCCCCCCCCCCCCCUUCCGCCGGGGAGGGAAGCGGGACCAUUCUCGGCAAGAGAAACAUUUCGCUCCGUAUCUAUAAUAAAGAUUUUUGAUUUUUCCCCUUUCCGAGGAGGGGCCGGGUGGAGGGCAGGCACGGCAGGGGGGGGCCGGCCCUCGGUGGAGAGCGCAGCCCCGCGGUCCCGGCGCGGAGCGCGGCCGCGGCGGCGGGGGGAGGCGGCCCCAGCGCCGCCCGCGAGAGGGGGGCAGCCGCCCCAGACAGGUGAUGGGCGUUUCGGCUGCGCUCCGGAUCGACUCCUUGGGUUUCACUUUGGUCUGAUCUAAGCAAAUAUGCAGAAGUACCGGCUGGUCUAGUCCUAAGAGCCAAGAGGAGCGAGCGAGAGCGGCAGAAGGGAGAGCAGCCACGCUCCCGUAGCGAGGGGAACGUACAAACAGCGGCCGCGCCGUCAUUAAGCUACCGCCGCCCCGGGCAGCCCCGACCCACCCCUGGAUGCGGAGGACCCCCGAGCCACCCCGCUGCCUUUCCCCUGAGGGAUGGUACUGAAUUUCUGCGCGGCAGGAGCCGGCCUGCAGCUCCUCUCCAUCAGCGUUGCCUUCCCUCCGUGUCUAAAGUGCACUAGACCGCGAUGAGGACCUGGGCUUGCGUUUUGCUGAUAGGUUUUGGCUACCUGUCCUUUACCUUCUCCGAGGAGGCCGAGAUCCCGCAGGAGCUCAUCGAGCGGCUGGCGCACAGCGAGAUCCACAGCAUCCGCGACUUGCAGCGCCUCCUGGAGAUUGACUCCGUAGGAUAUGAUGAUGUUUCAGAAACAAACUUGAGAUCCUAUAGUGUUCAUUCUGCUAAACAUGUGCAAGAGAAUCGUCCUGUGCCCAUUCGCAGAAAAAGAAGCAUUGAGGAGGCCAUCCCGGCUGUCUGCAAGACACGGACGGUCAUCUACGAGAUACCUCGGAGUCAGAUCGAUCCCACCUCGGCCAACUUCCUGAUAUGGCCGCCCUGCGUGGAGGUGAAGCGCUGCACUGGCUGCUGCAACACCAGCAGUGUGAAAUGCCAGCCGUCCCGGAUACACCACAGAAGUGUCAAGGUGGCAAAAGUGGAAUAUGUUAGAAAAAAGCCAAAAUUAAAAGAAGUUCUGGUGAGAUUAGAAGAGCAUAUGGAAUGCACCUGUACAUCAUCAAAUACUAAUUCAGAUUAUAGAGAAGAAGAAACUGAUUAACAGGUAUUUAUUGGGAGUAGUAUGAUAGAAGCAAAGAUUUUCUAAAAUUCAACUUUAAAAGUGAGCAUGUAAACUCAAUCAGAACAGCAUUUAGAACUUCUUGUCCCAGAUGUAAGGUGAAAAUAAGCUAGAAAAAAAACUUCUCUCUGGGACAUGGAUGUACAUGGUUUGUUACAUUCCUGAACCUACUAUGUAUGGUGCUUAUUGACUGUAUACUUUAUUUGUUCUCCUGUGUGAAAAAACUGGCUCAAAAGAACACUUAAUGAGAACAAAGAGACAAUGUACAUUUGUUUAAUGUGACAUCAAAGCAAGUAUUGUAGCACUCUGUGAAACAAUAGGAAGCUUCCCUGUCCAAAAAAGAAAAAAAAAAUGAAAGAAAGAAAAACAGAAAAGAAAAAAAGACAGUUGAAUGAAUGGAGGAUACCAAAAGUACUCAAAAACAUGACAAAAAUCUAAGUGAAUAGUGGAUUUCUGUCAGAGCAGUCAACGGUGCUUUACGUCAAGAAAUGUGCCUGCGUUCUUGAUGAAGAUGGAUGGACACUGGUGGACUUCAGGCACAAAAAAAGCAGGAAUGUACGAAAUGAUCAAAUGCCACGCAAACACUAUAGAACAAUACAUCCUUGCUUGGUGGUGUUUUAAAAGUCUAUACAAAAAAACCUUCUGGGGAGCCUUAAGUGGAUUUUUUUUUUUACACCAUAAAGUGAUUAUUAAGUUUUCUUUUUACUCUUUGCCUAGCUUUUUAUUAUCUCUCGGACUACAUUUGCCAAUAACACAUAUAAAAGACUGGUAUAACAAUAAGCAGAACACAAAACAUUAUGGUAUUUCUCCUAGUGGGAUGCAAACUAAUGAGAUGUAUUAAAAUAAAAAUGGUAUACCUAUGCAUAAUUUUCUAGACGUUUCUUGGUUUAUGUUCCCCAACCUCCCCCGUAAUUUAAAGCAUUACAUAAAAGAAAAAAAAAGAGAAAAAAAAAGAGAGAUGUGCGUAAACAAAUCAUAGGCUAUCCAUGCAAAAAUCUUCUUUUUUUUUUUCCUUUAAGACUUAUGCCAGUUGCCUACUAGUGAUAUUGUGUUAGCAAUUGUCAUUCUUAUCAGUAUACAGAUACUUUUAUUUCACAUGUUGGAGCUGUGUGAAAUGUACAAAUUCUUGUAUCUGCAUUGUAUAAUGUCAUGGUGGCAUGGGAACUACCUUGCUGCAAAUAUUUGAACAAAACCUAAAAUUCUUUAUUUUUGGUAAAAUGUUAUGCUUUAUGUGUAUUCAACAGAAAUAUGUGUUUUUGUAAAGGUGAAGUUUGUAUUUUUAUCUAAAAAUUAACAGUUUUAUAUACCUGAGAAAGCCUGCUAUGUUUUCUUGAACCAAAAAAAAAAAAAAAAAAAGAAAAAAGAAAAAAAAAAGCAUUUUGUGGUCAUAUUUUUGUAGUAGAAUAGCCCAAAUAACAUCAAAAUCUAUUUUAAUUAUAGCAGGGCAGAUAAAAUACUCUGGCAGCAGCUCCUGUUUUUUCAAAGUGCCAAAGGAUUAAAUGUUCAGUUCCCCUCGGAUUGCGGUGGGAGCCACAUGGCUAAAUCCUUCUGUAUUGCUUUGGAAAUUUAGGGCUGUGCCAGAUAUGACAUGGCUACUCACUUGGCCAAAAUCACUGCCCCACCCCAGUAGUUUGGAUUAUGUACCCUUUGUUUUAUUUGGAUUAUCACACUGGAUAUGUAAAAUGAACUACUGGAUUCUUUUAUUGUGAAACAUCUACAAAGAGAUGAAAGAGUUUUCUUAGUUUGGAACAACAAAAAAGUUUGUCUUGAAGACAGUUUUUCCACUCAAAAAUAUCUUCAAAUGUGAAUGAACUGCAGAACCUUAAAACAACAAAAGAGAGCAAGAUUUUUAACCUUUCCACUUCUCUAAAUAUAGUUCAAACAUUCCCCUCCUGUUCCUGUAGCUAUGUCAAAUUUCAACCAAACAAAGCAAUGUUAGCUAACAGGCAUUAUUGGCUUCAGAUGCUAAUGCAGAGAUAGAGUUAGUCACCGUUCUAUUUUGUGAUCAUUUUCCCAGUGUAUUUGUUGAGCACCAAAACUGGAAAUACAUUUAACUAAGAUUGUCUGUGCUUGUUUUCCACUAAGUGUACUGUUCACAAUGUUAUGCACAUGAAUGUAUGUGUCUGCGUUUAAAAAAAGUGUAUAAAAUGUAAUUUAUAUAUUUAUGUUUCAGUGGGAUGCCAGUAAUGUUGCUCCGUUCCUUUUUUUUGUCUAAAAGAUAUCUAAUGAAAAAAAAAAAAACCAAACAUAUAUCCAUUAAAAUCAUGUAAAUGAAAAAGCAUUAUGUGACCCACUCAGACACUGUGCAGGUGAUGAAAGGAUGUCAAAGUCACUUAAGUGGAAUAAUUUGAAAAACAACUCUUUGAGAGUCCUGCACUGGCAUAAGAAGGUUGUGUUGGGAUCUGUGGGCCGGCUCCCCUGGAAUGACUCCAUGGAGCAUCCUGCAGCUCUGCUGAUUUACAUCACGAGGGAGUCUGGCCUUAGAGUAAAGUCUUGAAAACAAAGCCAACCGAGGGGCACGUGUUUUGCUGGUGCCAGCAAAUAAACGUGUUAUGCCAAAUUCAGCAAACCAGGGGAGAAUGAAGACUGAAUGGAGUCCUUUCCAGUAGUCAUUUGUUUGAGACUUGUGGUCUCGAGUUAAUUUUGUUACGGGGAAUGAAACGCACACGAGUCUUUGUUCUCAAGCACAGUGUUCAUGUGGCAUGCGGCAGAAAACACAGAAAUCUCAGGGCUACAUUCUCAGCUACUAUAAAUUGGCAAAACGUUUCUGACUUCAGCUGCCCCCAACCUAAUUUACAUCAGAUGAGGAUCCAGUCCGUGCUUUUUAAAUUACAAGGAGUAGUGUCAUGACAUGAGCAUCACUUCCUAUAGUCCAGCUGAGAUCUUACCCACCACCCUAUCCAACGUUGCAGGCUGUGGGGUUAGUCCUUCAGAGUGGCAGAUACAACCAGAGGGAAGAGUGACAUUGCAGGUGGUGACACGGGAGACAUUAAUUCAAAGUUAAGUUGGACAUUUCAAGGGCCAUAUCCUCAGCUGGUGUAAAUCACCAUCACUCUGUUGCCUGCAAUGGAGCUGUACCAGCUUACACCACUUGAGGGGCUGGUCCCUCAUUCUUGCUCAUCCCUUCCACUCCUCGGUCCCGCAGGGAUCCCGGGUUGUCGUGUACGGUCAGUGUAAUCCUGUGUUCUCUAAUACUUAAGCACAAUAAGUGAAUAUAAGAAUGAGUGUCAGACUUAACUUUGAAUGUCCAAGCUCUGAAAUGGUUUGUUUCACCAUUGUGGCUGUAAAUUAAACAGUUCUCUGUGCAUUUGUGAA